rnacentral:rRNA from 1 species
AUGCAAGUCGAACGAUGAUCCGGUGCUUGCGCCGGGGAUUAGUGGCGAACGGGUGAGUAACACGUGAGUAACCUGCCCUUAACUCUGGGAUAAGCCUGGGAAACUGGGUCUAAUACCGGAUAUGACUCCUCAUCGCAUGGUGGGGGGUGGAAAGCUUUUUGUGGUUUUGGAUGGACUCGCGGCCUAUCAGCUUGUUGGUGAGGUAAUGGCUCACCAAGGCGACGACGGGUAGCCGGCCUGAGAGGGUGACCGGCCACACUGGGACUGAGACACGGCCCAGACUCCUACGGGAGGCAGCAGUGGGGAAUAUUGCACAAUGGGCGCAAGCCUGAUGCAGCGACGCCGCGUGAGGGAUGACGGCCUUCGGGUUGUAAACCUCUUUCAGUAGGGAAGAAGCGAAAGUGACGGUAGCUGCAGAAGAAGC